UACGGGGGGGGCAAGCGUUGUUCGGAAUUACUGGGCGUAAAGGGCUCGUAGGUGGCCAACUAAGUCAGACGUGAAAUCCCCAGGCUCAACUUGGGAACUGCGUCUGAUACUGGAUGGCUUGAAUUCGGGAGAGGAAUGCAGAAUUCCAGGUGUAGCGGUGAAAUGCGUAGAUAUCUGGAGGAAUACCGGUGGCGAAGGCGGCAUCCUGGACCGACAUUGACGCUGAUGAGCGAAAGCUAGGGGAGCAAACGGG
rnacentral:rRNA from 1 species